GUACACUCCUACGGGAGGCAGCAGUGGGGAAUUUUGGACAAUGGGCGAAAGCCUGAUCCAGCAAUGCCGCGUGUGUGAAGAAGGCCUUCGGGUUGUAAAGCACUUUUGUCCGGAAAGAAAUCCUUGGCUCUAAUACAGUCGGGGGAUGACGGUACCGGAAGAAUAAGCACCGGCUAACUACGUGCCAGCAGCCGCGGUAAUACGUAGGGUGCGAGCGUUAAUAGGAAUUACUGGGCGUAAAGCGUGCGCAGGCGGUUUGCUAAGACCGAUGUGAAAUCCCCGGGCUCAACCUGGGAACUGCAUUGGUGACUGGCAGGCUAGAGUAUGGCAGAGGGGGGUAGAAUUCCACGUGUAGCAGUGAAAUGCGUAGAGAUGUGGAGGAAUACCGAUGGCGAAGGCAGCCCCCUGGGCCAAUACUGACGCUCAUGCACGAAAGCGUGGGGAGCAAACAGGAUUAGAUACCCCAGUAGUCCCA
rnacentral:rRNA from 1 species